UAAGCGGAGGAAAAGAAACUAACAAGGAUUCCCCUAGUAACUGCGAGUGAAGCGGGAAAAGCUCAAAUUUAAAAUCUGGUGGUCUUUGNNCAUNCGAGUUGUAAUUUAGAGAAGCGACUUCCGCGCUGGACCGUGCACAAGUCUCCUGGAAUGGAGCGUCAUAGAGGGUGAGAAUCCCGUCUUUGGCACGGACACGCCAGGGCUUUUGUGAUGCGCUCUCGAAGAGUCGAGUUGUUUGGGAAUGCAGCUCAAAAUGGGUGGUGAACUCCAUCUAAAGCUAAAUAUUGGCGAGAGACCGAUAGCGAACAAGUACCGUGAGGGAAAGAUGAAAAGCACUUUGGAAAGAGAGUGAAACAGUACGUGAAAUUGUUGAAAGGGAAACGCUUGAAGUCAGUCGCGUCGACCGAGACUCAGCCUUGCCUUGGCUUGGUGUACUUCUCGGCCGACGGGUCAGCAUCAAUUUUGCCCCUUGGAUAAUGGCGAGAGAAAUGUGACACCUUUACGGUGUGUUAUAGUCUCUUGUCGCAUGCAAGGGUCGGGAUUGAGGAACUCAGCACGCGCCUUUGGGUGUCGGGGCUUUUGCCCACGAUACGUGCUUAGGAUGUUGGCGUAAUGGCUUUAAACGACC
rnacentral:rRNA from 1 species